rnacentral:miRNA from 1 species
UGUUGGUGAGAGUUCGAUUCUC